rnacentral:rRNA from 1 species
UUAGAGUUUGAUCAUGGCUCAGGACGAACGCUGGCGGCGUGCCUAAUACAUGCAAGUCGAACGCGUCCCGGUUGAUGAAGUUGAGUGCUUGCACUUGAUUGAUUCAACUUGGUGACGAGUGGCGAACUGGUGAGUAACACGUGGGUAACCUGCCCCGAAGCGGGGGAUAACAUUUGGAAACAGGUGCUAAUACCGCAUAACAACCAAAACCUCCUGGUUUUGGUUUAAAAGACGGCUUCGGCUGUCACUUUGGGAUGGACCCGCGGCGUAUUAGCUAGUUGGUGAGGUAACGGCUCACCAAGGCGAUGAUACGUAGCCGACCUGAGAGGGUAAUCGGCCACAUUGGGACUGAGACACGGCCCAAACUCCUACGGGAGGCAGCAGUAGGGAAUCUUCCACAAUGGACGCAAGUCUGAUGGAGCAACGCCGCGUGAGUGAUGAAGGGUUUCGGCUCGUAAAACUCUGUUGUUGGAGAAGAACGGGUGUCAGAGUAACUGUUGACAUCGUGACGGUAUCCAACCAGAAAGCCACGGCUAACUACGUGCCAGCAGCCGCAGUAAUACGUAGGUGGCAAGCGUUGUCCGGAUUUAUUGGGCGUAAAGCGAGCGCAGGCGGUUUUUUAGGUCUGAUGUGAAAGCCUUCGGCUUAACCGGAGAAGUGCAUCGGAAACCGGGAGACUUGAGUGCGGAAGAGGACAGUGGAACUCCAUGUGUAGCGGUGAAAUGCGUAGAUAUAUGGAAGAACACCAGUGGCGAAGGCGGCUGUCUGGUCUGCAACUGACGCUGAGGCUCGAAAGCAUGGGUAGCGAACAGGAUUAGAUACCCUGGUAGUCCAUGCCGUAAACGAUGAGUGCUAAGUGUUGGAAGGUUUCCGCCCUUCAGUGCUGCAGCUAACGCAUUAAGCACUCCGCCUGGGGAGUACGACCGCAAGGUUGAAACUCAAAGGAAUUGACGGGGGCCCGCACAAGCGGUGGAACAUGUGGUUUAAUUCGAUGCUACCCGAAGAACCUUACCAGGUCUUGAC